GAUGAACGCUGGCGGCGUGCCUAAUACAUGCAAGUCGAGCGAACGGACGAGAAGCUCGUUCCUCUGCUGUUAGCGACGGACGGGUGAGUAACACGUGGAUAACCUACCUCUAAGACUGGGAUGACUACGGGAAAACGCAGCUGCUAACGGCUCAUAUUAUGUACCGCAUGAUUCAAGAGUGCAAGAGGGUCUUGCUGUCACUUAUAGCUGGAUCCGCGCUGCAUUAGCUAGUUGGUAAGGUAACGGCUUACCAAGGCAACGAUGCAUAGCUGACCUGAGAGGGUGAUCAGCCACACUGGAACUGAGACACGGUCCAGACUCCUACGGGAGGCAGCAGUGGGGAAUCUUCCGCAAUGGGCGAAAGCCUGACGGAGCAACGCCGCGUGAGUGAUGAAGGUCUUCGGAUCGUAAAGCUCUUUUAUUAGGGAAGAACAUAUGCGGAAUUAUCUGUGCAUAUCUUGACGGUACCUAAAGAGUAAGCCCCGGCUAACUUCGUG
rnacentral:rRNA from 1 species